rnacentral:piRNA from 1 species
UGACACCCUGUGAGCCUUGCAUGGCAUGC